rnacentral:rRNA from 1 species
UAAGACAGGGGUCUCGAGCGUUAAUCGGAAUUACUGGGCUUAAAGGGUGCGUAGGCGGCCGCGCAAGUGUCCCGUGAAAUCCCCCGGCUUAACCGGGGAACUGCGGGGCAAACUGCGCGGCUCGAGGAAGGUAGAGGCCGGUGGAACGAUAGGUGGAGCGGUGGAAUGCGUAGAGAUCUAUCGGAACGCCAAAGGUGAAGACAGCCGGCUGGGCCUUUCCUGACGCUGAGGCACGAAAGCGUGGGGAGCAAACCGGAUUAGAUACCCGGGUAGUCCACGCCCUAAACGAUGCACACUAGACCGGAGCGGCUCUGACGUCGUUCUGGUCGCAGAGAAAUUGAUAAGUGUGCCGCCUGGGGAGUACGGUCGCAAGGCUA